GGCGAUGCGGGAUGAACCGAACGCCCUGAUAAAGUGCCGAACUGCUCGCUCAUCAGACCCCACAAAAGGUGUUGGUUCAUUUAGACAGCAGGACGGUGGCCAUGGAAGUCGGAAUCCGCUAAGGAGUGUGUAACAACUCACCUGCCGAAUGAACUAGCCCUGAAAAUGGAUGGCGCUCAAGCGUACUACCAAUACCUCGCCGCUAGGGUAGAAACGAUGCCCUAGCGAGUAGGCAGGCGUGGAGGCCCGUGACGAAGCCUUGGGGGUGACCCCGGGUAGAACGGCCUCUAGUGCAGAUCUUGGUGGUAGUAGCAUAUAUUCAAAUGAGAACUUUGAAGACUGAAG
rnacentral:rRNA from 1 species